rnacentral:rRNA from 1 species
UGGGGAAUAUUGGGCAAUGGGCGCAAGCCUGACCCAGCAACGCCGCGUGAAGGAAGAAGGCUUUCGGGUUGUAAACUUCUUUUCUGAGGGACGAAGAAAGUGACGGUACCUCAGGAAUAAGCCACGGCUAACUACGUGCCAGCAGCCGCGGUAAUACGUAGGUGGCAAGCGUUAUCCGGAUUUAUUGGGUGUAAAGGGCGUGUAGGCGGGAGCGCAAGUCAGAUGUGAAAAUCUCAGGGCUCAACCCUGAGCCUGCAUUUGAAACUGUGUUUCUUGAGUGCUGGAGAGGCAAUCGGAAUUCCGUGUGUAGCGGUGAAAUGCGUAGAUAUACGGAGGAACACCAGUGGCGAAGGCGGAUUGCUGGACAGUAACUGACGCUGAGGCGCGAAAGCGUGGGGAGCAAACAGGAUUAGAUACCC